GGAUGUGAGGGCGAUCUGGCUGCGACAUCUGUCACCCCAUUGAUCGCCAGGGUUGAUUCGGCUGAUCUGGCUGGCUAGGUGGGUGUCCCCUUCCUCCCUCAAUGCUCCAUGUGUGUCCCUCCCGAAGCUGCGUGCUCGGUCGAAGAGGACGACCACCCCCGAUAGAGGAGGACCGUUCCUCGGUCAAGGGUAUACGAGUAGCUGCGUUCCCCUGCUAGAACCUUCAAACAAGCUCUCAAAGAGACAUAGAUGCAAGCACAAAAGCCAAAACUAUAAAACAUAGGGGAAACGCUUUGUGCACACAAAGUGGUU
rnacentral:snRNA from 1 species